rnacentral:rRNA from 1 species
UACGUAGGGGGCAAGCGUUAUCCGGAUUUACUGGGUGUAAAGGGAGCGUAGGCGGCUUAGUAAGUCAGAAGUGAAAGCCCGCAGCUCAACUGCGGGACUGCUUUUGAAACUGGCAGUCUCGAGUUGGAGAGAAGUAUGCGGAAUGCGCGGUGUAGCGGUGAAAUGCAUAGAUAUCGCGCAGAACUCCGAUUGCGAAGGCAGCAUGCCGGCUCCACACUGACGCUGAGGCACGAAAGCGUGGGUAUCGAACAGG